GCCGCUGCGGCCCCCCUCGUCCCAAGGGCGCCGGCGGGCGCGGGUGGGCCGGGGGCCCCGGCCUCCCCUGCCCUGCCGUAAAAGGCCCUGGUGCGCAGCCCGGCCAACUGGGGAAACGGAGCAAGAAAUAGCACGGAGAUGAUGGCGGAUGAGCAGAAAUACACGCGAGCCAGGGACUUACCACCUGGCUGGAGGCCGGCGUUCCUUAAAGCAAGGACAACAGGUAGCAAAACCUGGUUUUUUAUUUUUGUGUUACCCUGCGAUCACGGUGAGCAACUCUUCUCUCCGUUCAAGCUCUCCUUCCUCACAGAAGAUGUGACUCUUUAAAUAUAUAAUAAAUAGUGAAACAUGCUGAUGUGUGUGUGCGCUACUUCUGAUCCGUCUUUGGGAGGAGAAGAUGAACGUUACCCAACACAGCGUAGCUCAGACUGCCAAGGGUCGCAUAGGGCACAUCUGCAAAGCAGGACUAGAAAAGGCUACCACCAUGUCCUGCUCUCUUCUGCACUCGCCUGCAUCGGCCCUGGAGAAGCGGGAUGACAUCCUCUGCCCAGCUCAGCCCUGAGGAGGGAGGAAUGAUGAUUUCCCCAGCCCCACAUCUGGCGUGACCACUGGCACCUCCCGGUUGGCCCCUUCCCAGUCCCGGACCACCAGCUGCUGCCUUGCCUGGACCUCCCCUGCUCUGCUGCUGCUGGACCAGCCCUUCCCCACGGCAUCGUUAUCCGCUUGAGUCCUCCUUCUAAGUGUGUGCUGUGCACUGCCCUGUAUUGAAUUUCAUUUUAUUGAUCUCAGACUAUUUCUCCAUUUGUCAAGACCACUUUGAUUUCUAGCCCUCCAAAGUGCUUGCAAAGUGUGCUUCCCCACCUGGAGGUACCCACAGAUUUUAAAGUGUGCUUUCUAUCCCAUUACCCUCCUCAUUAAUAAAUAAUAGCAGCACGAUCCA